UACGUAGGCAGCGAGCGUUGUUCGGAGUUACUGGGCGUAAAGGGUGCGUAGGCGGUCGGGUAAGUCUGAUGUGAAAUCUCACAGCUUAACUGUGAAACUGCAUUGGAUACUAUCCGGCUCGAGGAAUGGAGGGGAGACUGGAAUACUUGGUGUAGCAGUGAAAUGCGUAGAUAUCAAGUGGAACACCAGUGGCGAAGGCGAGUCUCUGGACAUUUCCUGACGCUGAGGCACGAAAGCCAGGGGAGCAAACGGG
rnacentral:rRNA from 1 species